rnacentral:rRNA from 1 species
UCUCUCUGAAUCUGCGAACGGCUCCGCAAACCAGUUGUAAACUAUAGCAAGCACGCUUGGGCUGUCCCUUCACGGGGGCGGCUCAGGUUGUAGGGAUAACCCUGGUAAUUCUGAGGCUAAUACCAUUACGUAAAGCUUGGCUGACCGGGCAACCGGGAGGCUGGGGGACGUGUGAGUGUUUUCGCGAGGUUUACCGGGAAGGGACGCACGUCUUGACCGCGCAAAACGGAUGACUGCCCUCCGGGGCGGGCUUCUAGCGGCUCUUGCUGUGUGCUUCUGACCUAUCAACUAGAUGGCAGCGUAAGGGACAUGCUAUGGUGACAACGGGUACAGAGGAUUAGGGUUCGAUCCUGGAGAGUGGGCCUGAGAGAUU